CACGUUCCCUGGGGACUGCUGCAGCUUCCUGGAAAGGCUGGAUGUUGGAGAAAGGCUCAGGUCUGCACUGGGGUUCCCCUCUUCCAAGUCCAUAUCAGCUUGAAUACAUUUGUUCACCUUUUGAACAGAUCUUCUGGAUGCUGCUUUGUGGUGAUUCGGGCAUUGCAUGUUUGAUAGCAGGUCCUCUGUAUCUUGCCCCAGUCCCAUUUUCCUGCUCUACAAGACAAGGAGGAGGUGCAUGAAUUAGCAAAGUUCCCCACAACCGCCAGCUACUGCCGGCUCCCACAGAGAAACAGAGAAGUAACAAUGACCUUCCCACUAAGGAUGCCAAGAAGACAGAGAAAAUGGGCAGAGGGAAGAAUUCGUACCUUGGAGCUGAAGCCAAAUUAUUCCCUUGUCUCUCUCACAUGGAAGGAUCCUUCUCGACCAGCUGUAUGAGCCUUCACUUCCCCCAGCCAGCUAAUUUUCUCCUUCUCUGCCAAGCAGCCUUCAGUCAAUAAAAGUCUAAAUCCCCAAA